UUUUCCAAGCCUGCCGGCCUUUCUGGGCAGCCUGCCCACAGUAGAGGAUCCUUGUUUAUCCCAAGGAGGGCAAAACAGAGCAAAGAGAGGAGUCUUGUCUAACAUCCUCAGCUUUCCGGGGCAGCCGCAGGCAGAGAAAAUCACAGCGGCCAUGGAGAAGUCUGCUUGAGGCAACCUCCAGGUCGAAGAGGUGAUGAUGCAGCCUUUCCCUGACAACAGGCAGGGUCCUUCUCUUACGUGAGUGCCAUAAACCUACUUUUGUCUUUCUCCCUGCUAUGCCCUCUGGGAAGCAAAACACAGUUCCAAAGCCCAACAUGUAUUAAUGAAAACUAUGCUUUUAUAAUGAUCCUCAGGACUUUUCUGUCAUUUUUCUAAAUUGAAUGGCUACAUUACCUCAGUAUGGCAAUUAAUGAC
rnacentral:lncRNA from 1 species